AAGCCUAUUUCAAAUGGCGGCAUUUCAUCUUAUUAGAGGAACCUGUUUAUUAAUCGACAAUCCACGAUAAUUUUUACUCUAAUAAUAAAAUUUAUAUACCGCUGUCUAAAGAUUUAAUUUACUAACCCUUCUCUCAAUAUAUUUUAAAAAGAUAAGUCAAGGUGUAGUUAAAAUUUCAGUAUAUUAUGGGUUACUAUAAAAAUAAUUUAUGGAAAAAUUUCCAAAAACAAAUUUUAAAAUAGGAUUUAUAAGUAUUUAUAUAAUAAUAUUUUCUAUCGAAUAAGAUAAAAAAUGUGCACACAUCGCCG
rnacentral:rRNA from 1 species